AAGCGGUUCUUCAGCCUCAGUCCGGCCUACAGUGGACAACGAAAUCGAUUCGGCAUUUGAUUCGGCAUUUGGGAGAGUAUUUAAGAAGUUGGGGUUCCUCCAUUCAUUGCUGGAGAAUGGCAUCUGGCAGCUGUAUGCUGGACGCUGGAUUCUUUGGGUCCUCCAGCCCUGGGACCAAUAUGGAUUCCUUGGUCCCAGUAUACUUAUCUCUGUCUGACUGGAUAAUCUGAGACGAGAGUCCUGUCCAGUCAAUCUUACUCUCCCAUUAAUAAAAUAUUAAAAACU